rnacentral:rRNA from 2 species
CUGGUGUCAGCCGCCGCGGUAAUACCAGCACCCCGAGUGGUCGGGACGUUUAUUGGGCCUAAAGCAUCCGUAGCCGGUUCUACAAGUCUUCCGUUAAAUCCACCUGCUUAACAGAUGGGCUGCGGAAGAUACUAUAGAGCUAGGAGGCGGGAGAGGCAAGCGGUACUCGAUGGGUAGGGGUAAAAUCCGUUGAUCCAUUGAAGACCACCAGUGGCGAAGGCGGCUUGCCAGAACGCGCUCGACGGUGAGGGAUGAAAGCUGGGGGAGCAAACCGGGUUAGAUACCCGGGUAGUCCCAGCUGUAAACGAUGCAGACUCGGUGAUGAGUUGGCUUAUUGCUAACUCAGUGCCGCAGGGAAGCCGUUAAGUUUGCCGCCUGGGGAGUACGGUCGCAAGACUGAAACUUAAAG